AUGCAUGCGCAGCUUACCAUGCAAGUCGAGCGCACUCUUCGGAGUGAGCGGCGGACGGGUUAGUAACGCGUGGGAACGUGCCCUUCUCUAAGGAAUAGCCACUGGAAACGGUGAGUAAUACCUUAUACGCCCUUCGGGGGAAAGAUUUAUCGGAGAAGGAUCGGCCCGCGUUAGAUUAGAUAGUUGGUGGGGUAAUGGCCUACCAAGUCUACGAUCUAUAGCUGGUUUUAGAGGAUGAUCAGCAACACUGGGACUGAGACACGGCCCAGACUCCUACGGGAGGCAGCAGUGGGGAAUCUUGGACAAUGGGCGCAAGCCUGAUCCAGCCAUGCCGCGUGAGUGAUGAAGGCCUUAGGGUCGUAAAGCUCUUUCGCCAGAGAUGAUAAUGACAGUAUCUGGUAAAGAAACCCCGGCUAACUCCGUGCCAGCAGCCGCGGUAAUACGGAGGGGGUUAGCGUUGUUCGGAAUUACUGGGCGUAAAGCGCACGUAGGCGGAUCAGAAAGUAUAGGGUGAAAUCCCAGGGCUCAACCCUGGAACUGCCUUGUAAACUCCUGGUCUUGAGUUCGAGAGAGGUGAGUGGAAUUCCGAGUGUAGAGGUGAAAUUCGUAGAUAUUCGGAGGAACACCAGUGGCGAAGGCGGCUCACUGGCUCGAUACUGACGCUGAGGUGCGAAAGUGUGGGGAGCAAACAGGAUUAGAUACCCUGGUAG
rnacentral:rRNA from 1 species